UGACCAGGUCCGUGACGGGUAGGCUGGCUAAUAAGCGAAAGCAGAACGAUAAAGAAACAUAACGAUAACGAAAGAAGGUAGAUGGAGAAACCGAUGAAGAAUGGGAACAAGAAGUCGAUGAAGGGCAAGUGAUGAAGAUGGUUAUCAAGAAGCGAAGCCCGCCGAAGGAUUACAACGCAUCAUCAGGUUUUCGUGGUGACGAUGGUGUGUUUUUUGGUUGGCUGCUAUGUGUUGUGAAGAUGGAUGUUGUUGUGAAGACCAUUUUUUAGAAGCAUUACAACUAUUGAUAUAAAAUUCAUUUUUAUUUUCAUUUUCAUUGUUAGUAUGCCCAUUUUUGGAUGAA